AACGAACGCUGGCGGCAGGCCUAACACAUGCAAGUCGAACGCUCGUAGCAAUACGAGAGUGGCAGACGGGUGAGUAACACGUGGGAACCUUCCCUAUGGUUCGGAAUAGCUCAGGGAAACUUGGGGUAAUACCGGAUAAGCCCUUCGGGGGAAAGAUUUAUCGCCAUUGGAUGGGCCCGCGUCGGAUUAGCUAGUUGGUGGGGUAACGGCCUACCAAGGCGACGAUCCGUAGCUGGUCUGAGAGGAUGAUCAGCCACACUGGGACUGAGACACGGCCCAGACUCCUACGGGAGGCAGCAGUGGGGAAUAUUGGACAAUGGGCGCAAGCCUGAUCCAGCCAUGCCGCGUGAGUGACGAAGGUCUUCGGAUUGUAAAGCUCUUUUGGCGGGGACGAUAAUGACGGUACCCGCAGAAUAAGCCCCGGCUAACUUCGUGCCAGCCGCCGCCGUAA
rnacentral:rRNA from 1 species